UACAAAUGUACCUCCAUUUUGUAACAGCAGACAGCAAGGCUUGAACAUCCCAUAAUAAUUGUUUUUCCCAAUUAGUACUUUUGCAUAGCUUGCAUUUUACAGGAUGUGAACCUUCAAAAAGUAACUUUUUCUUAUCUGUGUACUCUAUGUAAAAUUUAUGUCCUGUCUUGGCCGUCCUUGAAGAACGUCCUUGUGGAUAAUGAGGUUCUACUCUAUUUUUUGGAAAUGAUUCCUUUGUAUCUGCAUGUACUCAAAAAGGGUAUAUAAGCUAUAAUCACAUAAGAAUAAACUGAACAAGUUUGAACUUCCAUCCUGGUCGUGUCGUCCUUGUUCCCGUGCACGCCUUUGUCCCGGCAGGAGAGCUCCCACGGCUGACUUGUUUUAGGAUUUGCGGUCAGGAACCCUUACAGUUAUGGUACCAGGAGUGGGGUGUCGCCAGCUGGACAAGUGAGUAUAACUCUAUUCAUUUUGAGUCUUACUCUGUCCGGCUGCGGCACCGCCAUGUCCUUGUUUUUGCAGCAUUCCAUUGAAGUCUGCAUAUAAAAGGUUAAUUUAGUUGUGCUGCGGUAGCACAGGGUUCUGUUUGCGUUUUGGUAACGCAAGGUUUUAGUUGCACUUUGGUAGUGCAAGGUUUUAUUUGCGUUUUGGUAACGCAAGAUUUAUGAGAUUUAUUGCCUGCUGCGGUAGCAGGAGUUUGGCCGCUCAAGUUGGUUUGUUUAUAUUUCACUGGGAGCCUCCUUAAGGGAUUUUCUUAUUUUUCUCUAUCUGCCAAUAUUGUACUGUAAAAUAUAUAAAUGUUCAUAUAAACACCCAGGGCAUUAAGAGUGAUCGCAUGUCGUUGUGGGUAUUGUUGGGACCUUGAUCUCAGUUCAGCCCUAACGACUUUGCUUUGCCAAGCGUGCUUAUACUUUUGAUUUUUGGAAAUUAACGGCAAGAGUUAAUCGUGGGAAGUAGCCAAAGGUAAUAAGGAGUUUUUGGUAAGCUCAAAGCCUCUAAAGGAGGGGCAUUAGGUAGGCAUGAGUUUCUUGUUGCGAUACUCUUGGAUGAAUUACUGUUUGUCUGUGUUGUGUCUUUGUUAUUGUCUUUAGAAGUAAAUGUUAUAUUUUUAAACCGGUCAUGUAAAAUUUAUUGCAACAUUAAGGAAUACCUCUGACUGAGCUAAUAAGGUUUUUGCUUUUACGGAAUUGUUGCAAUUAAGUUUCAUUAUAAGGAGUUGAAAAUAAAUGAAAUAAAAUUUCUAAGAAAUUAUCACUACACAUUCAUGAUAAACUUGCAAGGAAUACUGAACCUGGUAUCAGUAUGAUUCUUUCGGUGCGCACCCACACGCUUUGCUGAACUAAUUUGAACAGGAAUAAAUACCGUGAGGACUGAUUAUGUCUUUAAAAAAAUUUAAGCUCAAUGUGAGACUGCAGGUUUUGUCUGUCUUUAAGCCAAAUAUAAGGGUUCCGGACAGUUGACACGGGAUGGGACGGAGACUGAUCACCUCCGGGACACGGUGGGAACUUAGAUUUUAGUUUCUUUACCGUGUCAUCCCCAUAUCCUAUUGUGAAUUAGUCCGUAGUCGAAAGUGGCUUCCUGGCAGCCAGCCAAGACAGGUUCCUUUGGCCUGCAGCCCAUUUUAUCUGAACCUGCACAUUGGUAUUUAUGGCCUGAUUUAUGUUUCUUGUUUCUAUGUAUUCUUGUGUCUCCCUGUAAUUGGUCUCUGUUAACCGUCCGUCUGAAGUUGUGCCUGUGAAGGUCAGUAACAGGAUUCUUAUGUGCAGGCAUUAGAGGGGUUAAUAGCUACUUUCCAGCUGAGCACUGUGCAUGCUGGAGUGGGGGUAAUUACACUGGAUUGUGUGUGGAAUAUCUUAGCUUUGGUGGGUUAACCUAGUACAGUGUACAGGGAAGAUAUGUCGUGUAAUAAUUGCGUAUGUGGACUUCUGUUUGGGAUUACAGAAGGGGGGUGGCGACUAGCUAGUAUCACGGAAGGGGGGUAUCCUGAAGUUUACCUGGGUAGGAAACGUGUAAUGCCCAGUGUUCCGGACAUUCUGUGUUACCGGCUUAAUGUCCAUUUCCCUGUGAUAAGAAGGUAUAGGGAAAAGUAUAAUACAGAUUUGGGAUGAUGCUAUUUCCAGCUGAUACCUACCCGUGGAAUGUAGUUGCCACCCUAAGGAAGGGAUCCCAGCAUGUGAGCUGGUAGCAGCCAUAGAGGGGAAGAAAUAUAUAUAAAGAAAUAAAAAUAAGAAACACUCAAAAAAUGCAAUUACUGGACAGAUUGCCUGUAGUUCUGUUCAGUGUUAGAUAUCGACUAAGAAGGGGCUGUAAACUGUCGCCUUCAAAAUUUUGUUUCAAUCAGCUCCCAGAUUAAGGUGUUACUUUCCCCAACAGCUGCAAUUACACUCUGAUGUUUUAACUAAUUUUGUAUCUCAAUUAAUUUGUGAACUAACUAAAGUGCAUGGUUAGGUGUUCUCUUUUUGUUCCAGAUCCAACCUUCACUGAGGGAACUGCAGCCCGAGGACUAAAUGAUACUAAAGAAAUUUGUUUGGAACUACACCUCCCACUACAAAAGAUCCCAGUUCUGGAAGGAACACUUGCAUCCGUGCAAUAAUAACUUAUAUCCUUUUCUGUAUUACACAGUUCUGAUACAUUCCUCUAAUACAUAGCCUCAUGCCUUAUUUAUCUUAGACAUAUGUGUCAGGGUUAAUGCAUGUAGAAAUGGAAGGAUUAUGGUUUAAUAGACAGUCUAUGGCAGUUGUAUUAGCCUGUAAACAAGAAGGUUUCAGAAAAUAUUAGAGGUCAUAUGGCACAAUUAUAUUAGUGUACGGACAUUUGUCCAUUAGGUCAAAUUAACCUGCCGUGUGGGCUAUUUUCCAAAAAAUGUAGGAUGUGUGUCUUGUACCCCCUACAAAGCAUUCUUAAAGACCCACACACCUGCUUAUCAAAAACAGUAUCCCUGGUAUCAACAGACUCAUGCACCCGAUGGUACACGUUGUAACAGACAUUAACCCCUUACUUACCUCUACACCUUCAGACUCAACAUACUACAGUGUCAUAAAUUUAGGGAAUGCAUACCAUUCUAUAUCAGUAAGUGAGAAGACAAGGCCCUUGUUUGCCUUCACGUGCGAUCGGCGUCAAUUACCUUUGCGCAAUUAGCAAUGAAGUACGCCGCUAGCAGCGUGAUUUAUGGGUAUGUACUCCGUGAAUCUCUAAAGGGCUGGGGAUAUCAGUCAGGGUCAACUCCCCUGCAAUAUGUUGAUGAUUUGUGGUUAUGUAGUGCAGACCAAGAAAGUUGUGAAAAAGACACUAUUUCACUGCUGAAUUACCUGUGUGAGGAGGGGCACAAGGUAUAAUUAAAAAGGUGCAGUAUUGCAAACCAUCUGUACAGUACUUGGGUUUCUUGCUAUCACAGGGGCAUAGACUAAUAAACCAACAGAGAAUUCAGGCAAUCUCAGCCAUAGAAAGCCACAAACUAAGGAACAAUUGCUCACAUUCUUGGGCACGGUUGGUUUUUGCAGACAAUGGAUUCCAGACUGUUCAUAUUUUGAAAGCAUCUUAAGGAGCAUACUUACAGACUCUGAAUCUGACAAUUUGCAAUGGACUGAAACUGGCACAAAUGCAUUUAAAGCUUUACUGGGGGUAUUGGCAUCUGCACCUAUACUCAGUCUGCCUAACUAUAAUCUGCCUUUGUGUUGUACUGCAGGAAAUUGUAAGACCAUGGUUGCAGGCUUAGCCCAGAUUUACGGAAACAGUUAAAGACCCAUAGCAUACUUCUCUGAGGUGCUACUGUCCCCUGUGCAAGGCAUGCCUGCCUGCCUGAGGGUGCUAGCAGCUUACACGGUAGCUGUUGAGUCUUCUAUUGCUAAUACCUUAUUCUAUCCUACAACUUUCUAUAUUUCACAAGUGCUGAUGGUAAGCCUAUUGCGCAUGCUACUUAUAUAGAAGAGUUGUUACAAACCCUUAUGCUUCCACACACCUUAAUGGUAGUUAAGUGCCGUGGGCACUCUACCGCCAGUGGCUGCCCAUCCUACCGACCCCCCGCCCGAUAAGCCCCCGCCUGAUAUUACUGCCUUAUGAGUGCUGCCAUCUCUGCCACAUGAUUUGCUCUUAUGAGCUACAAUUAUAUGCCACAUCUGCAGAUAUAAUAUACUGGCAGGAUAAUAUGUUGACCAUCGACGACAAUGGUCUCUGGUCAAAAGGAGGGAUUAUAGGUCUCCAGAAACAUGCAGCACCACUGUUCAUUAUGUAGUUCAUGGUGUCAUAUAAAAAGGAAAGUCACAGCAAGUAAAACACUGAAAUGUGUCAUGUAAAAAGGAAAGUCAUAGUAAGUGAGAAAUUUUAAUGGGUAAGCCUUUUCCCACUCCGUGGACAAGGACUCCCUUGGUCAUUAUACCAGGCAAUUUGGAUCAGAUACGGGAACAAUAUGUAACUGAAUUGAUAAAGUUUUGAAUGGUCACUAUGGUGAUGUUUCUUUCUCUUUUCCUAUUCAUUGACAGGAAGCUACACAUUCAUAUCGACCAGGAGACAUCAUAUUCAUGCGGAGACUCCAUUCAAAGGAAGGUGGAACCACCCCAUACGUAGAUCCCACGACUGUGAUAGUCAAUCACCAGAACCGCAAUCCUGACAUCUGACAGCAAUCAAUGGAUACACGCAAGAGGGCCCCCUGGAGGAUUACUCCACAGGAUACCCCAUCCUCAGAUGACGACGGCAACCCCCCUUGUGACCUACCCAACCCUCACCCCAGGAAACAGCGGUCGAGUCUGAGAAAUCUACCUCAUCAUUGUCCUCAGCAAAAUUCUUGCUUUAGCAGGAUUUGUCUACUUUAUCAUUUUCCUCAGCACCAUGGGUGCAUAUCACCCUGAGGAGCUACCUUGAUUGUGUGGACAGUCUCUGGACCGCCCAACAGGAACAUAACAGUAGAUAAACAUACGUAACAUACGUGAUGACAAUUUGUGGGAAUACAUGGCACGGGUUGUUCUUAACACUAGUUACAUGUGCCUAAAGGAUGUCACUAGUACAACUGAACUGAUUGAGACUUGUUUUGUAGCUGUUGCUACUCCCACUACUAUGCUUACUGACAUUCUUCAUGCUACAAAUAAUGACUCUGAAGUGCAAGGUUCUGAUACUGAAACACAUGUCCUCAUAUAUGUUUAUAUUGCACAUCAAAAUUUUGCUUCCAUAAUUACCUACAAUGUAACUGCAAGUGACAUACGCUAUAACAUGACUUGUAACAUUAAUGCAUUAGUGCAUUUAGGCACGUUUGAUUAAGAGUAGUGACCCGCACUCAGUGUGCAGUAGGCUGACCUAUCAAUGCACCAACUUCACAACAACUAUGUCAUGUAAUCACAACCCACCCUAGACAGACCACCCAGGCUCAACGCCCUAAGAGAGGCACAGAUUAUGAACAACUACCUGAAGAUUGCGACUCAGACUUACACUUAAUGGCUAAGUCUGAACUAAUAGCGCUAGGAUUCUCACUGGUAGGAAUACCAGGAUUGACUGUAUAUCAGGGUAAGCAAAUUAAUAAAAUUGCUUGCAUCAUAGUUAAGAGCAUUAACGCUACCAGCACUGCAAUUGCAAAUCUAUUGACUGACUUAGGAGACAUUAGAAAAGCAGUAUUACAAAAUCGCGAUUAAUUAUUUGCUUUUCAAGCCAUUAACCAAAAGCUUGACAUACUUCACGGUUUGGUUAACAACAGUACCCAACAUAAAGACCAAGGUUGGUGGGACUGGCUCACUAGCUGCCUCCCAGACAUUAGCGGUUGGGUCAAGACUGUUAUCGAGGUUGUCAUUAUUAUUAUCAUCUGUCUAAUUAUCAUCCAAUGUGUGCCUUCAUUAAUCCGCAUGUGUUGUUCACGUUGUAAUGAUUAACUUUAAUUGUUAUCACUUCGUGAUAAAAGGGAGGGUACCUAAAAUUCUCCCUCCAUAGAUUUCAUCUUCAAUAUGUUAUCACUUCGUGAUAAAAGGAGGGAUUGUAAGGUUUGAUAUAAUAUCCUAUGUUCUCAUAUUCAUAUAAUCAUAUAUUCAUAUAUGCAUGUAUUUUGAUACUUUGAUACUUUGAUGCUUAGCAUAUCAUACUCCAUUUUACAAAUGUACCUCCAUUUUGUAACAGCAGACAGCAAGGCUUGAACAUCCCAUAAUAAUUGUUUUUCCCAAUUAGUACUUUUGCAUAGCUUGCAUUUUACAGGAUGUGAACCUUCAAAAAGUAACUUUUUCUUAUCUGUGUACUCUAUGUAAAAUUUAUGUCCUGUCUUGGCCGUCCUUGAAGAACGUCCUUGUGGAUAAUGAGGUUCUACUCUAUUUUUUGGAAAUGAUUCCUUUGUAUCUGCAUGUACUCAAAAAGGGUAUAUAAGCUAUAAUCACAUAAGAAUAAACUGAACAAGUUUGAACUUC